rnacentral:lncRNA from 1 species
UUUUUUUUUUUUUUUUCUAAUUUUUGGUUGGUGGCGGCGGUGCUGGGCCAGGGGAAGGAAGGGACACGGAGGCCGCCCUCGCCCCGCCACCUCCUACCAGCUUCCCCCCAGCCCCGGCUCCGGGAGAUGUGCCGGGCGGGGGGCCCGGGUUCGCCGAGCCGCAGGAGAGACACGCUGGGCCGACCCCAGAGCGGCGCUGGACAGGAAAACAUUUAAAGUUGAUGAUAUGUUAUCAAAAGUAGAGAAAAUGAAAGGAGAGCAAGAAUCUCAUAGCUUGUCAGCUCAUUUGCAGCUUACAUUUUUGGUUUCUUCCACAAAAAUGAUAAGCCAUCACCAAACUCAGAAAAUGAACAAAAUUCUGUUACCCUGGAAGUCCUGCUUGUGAAAGUUUGCCACAAAAAAAGAAAGGAUGUAUGUUGUCCAAUAAGGCAAGUUCCCACAGGUAAAAAGCAGGUGCCUUUGAAUCCUGACCUCAAUCAAACAAAACCUGGAAAUUUCCCGUCCCUUGCAGUUUCCAGUAAUGAAUUUGAACCUAGUAACAGCCACAUGGUGAAGUCUUACUCGUUGCUAUUUAGAGUGACUCGUCCAAGAAGAAGAGAGUUUAAUGGAAUGAUUAAUGGAGAAACCAUGAAAAUAUUGAUGUCAGUGAAGAGCUUCCAGCCAGAAGAAAAUGAAAUCGUGAGGAUGGGGAAAAGACAUUUGUUGCACAAAUGACAGUAUUUGAUAAAAACAGGCGCUUACAGCUUUUAGAUGGGGAAUAUGAAGUAGCCAUGCAGGAAAUGGAAGAAUGUCCAAUAAGCAAGAAAAGAGCAACAUGGGAGACUAUUCUUGAUGGGAAG